GGUGACGCGUGCGCCGGCCGGCCGCCGAGGGGCUACCGUUCUGCCUCCGACCGGUCGUGUAAAUACUAGGCUUUAGAAUUUCACCAUAUGAAUUUUGGGAGAGAGGAGCACAGUUCAGCCCAUAACUAACACACGACGGAAUGAAGUUGAUAAUAGUGAGACCUUGUUGGUACAAGACUAUGUAACAUAACCUGCGCUUCUCAACAAAGAAUUGCUUUUCUGACUUCUGCACUCAACUACUCAACAUGAAGGCAAUAAGAAUGAAGACCUCUAUGUAUAAUAAUUGACUUCCACUUAAUAAAUACCUGAACAGAUGUUGAGUACAAGCUGAUCCACCUACGUUCAACCUGAGAGAGUCCACAUCCACAGACUGUUUCAUUUCCCUUUUUCAAUUUACAUAGAAGCAUAGAUUCUUGCUGGCAUAUACAAAUGCGCCAUUUAAGGCAAUCAAAAAUGGUUCCACAUCUCAUCUGAUUUCCACAAUUGUUGCUGUAACGAUGGACUACUGAGGAGAGAGACAAUUUCUCUGGCACAUCUUCCCACAUUUUAGCAACAUGUUCAUGGAGAGCCAAUAUUCAGUAAUUACAGCCCAAUUCCUCACAAUUUCACAAUUCGCUAACAAUAUGCAUUUUCACAAUGUAAAGCUGAUUUUCCUUUAACCAAAUCAAACAUGAAAAGAUAGCUGCAUGCAAUGGGCAAUCUAGAUCAUUAGAAGAUUGAUGUAAAAUUAGAGGACACUGAGACUGGAAUAGAUUGCAAACUUCAGGGAGCUCAGAAAACUUGUAAACUCUACAUUUUGAGGAAAUAUGUUGUCGAUGCUUUUGCAACUCUAUGCAGUAACUUAACAAAUAAAGCCUUAAAGUAAC
rnacentral:lncRNA from 1 species